AUUGAACGCUGGCGGCAUGCUUUACACAUGCAAGUCGAACGGUAACAGGGAGCUUGCUCCGCUGACGAGUGGCGAACGGGUGAGUAAUGCGUCGGAACGUGCCGAGUAGUGGGGGAUAACGCAUCGAAAGGUGUGCUAAUACCGCAUACGUACUGAGGUAGAAAGUGGGGGACCUUCGGGCCUCACGCUAUUCGAGCGGCCGACGUCUGAUUAGCUAGUUGGUGAGGUAAAGGCUCACCCAAGGCGACGAUCAGUAGCGGGUCUGAGAGGAUGAUCAGCCACACUGGGACUGAGACACGGCCCAGACUCCUACGGGAGGCAGCAGUGGGGAAUAUUGGACAAUGGGCGCAAGCCUGAUCCAGCCAUGCCGCGUGAGUGAUGAAGGCCCUAGGGUGUAAAGCUCUUUCGGCGGGGAAGAUAAUGACGGUACCCGCACGAAGAAGCCCCGGGCUAACUUCGUGCCAGCAGCCGCGGU
rnacentral:rRNA from 1 species